CGUACUCCUGGAACGUUGAGCUAGAAAAAGACGCCGCGCAGAGAGUCUUGUGUUGGGAAAUUUUAUCGUCGCGGGCGUUUGUAACGCGAUAAGAGACGACUGUGCGUAAUCAGUAGUUGUGAAAUGCGAGGUGCUCGUAUCGAGUUCACGUGAACGCAGCAAAAACAGCGUUGUUUUAUUGCCGUCGUCGUCGUCUUCUUUAGUUAUUAUUUCGUUGGCUGGAAAAAAAAUUGCAAAAGAAGAAAAAUAGCUAGGUUGUCGAUUCUAUCUGCGUUUUGCGUUGGUGUGCUGUUUUAAUUACCAGUGUUUCGCUUCGAUUCUGCUAACUUGUCUUUUUUCAAUCGUAUAUUAAAUGUAAAAACGUGCUGUGCAGUGUUGGUGUGUGCGUAUGAAUUCGCGAUAUAAAUCGUCGCCGGAUAUGAUGGCGGUAUAGUGCUAGGUUCGCGGUUUUGAUUAUUUUUUUGCCAACAUUUUGUAUCGAUAGACGAGCUCUCAAUAAGAGGUAUUCGCAGCAUGUCGAAUCGAAGUCGAGCUUAAGAGUCAAAGCAACCACCACAGUUUCCUUCCAGCUUGUAACUGCUACAAGAAAAAUACGAGACUGGCUUCAGUACCAGGCCAGUUACCCCUUCGCGGGGUAUAAUCACUGCGGAGCUAAAUGAAAGAUGGCGUGGGGCUACUGGAGCGCGGCCACGGUCUCAGACCGAGCCAGAUCGCCUCGUCGGAACACCUCUACCUCGUUCGCCAACGUAUCGCAUUUCGCCUCAUCUCUUCCCUCAACGUCGAUCAUUCCGCCUCCACCGGCCGCUCCUUCCGUCUACCAUCGUCCUCAACACGUUUACGGCCACCUUGGCGUAUCUCAACAUCAAACUCCUCUACCGCCUCCGCCUCCACCAGCUCAACAUCAUCAGUCCGGUUGCUGCAAUAAUCACAACAGUUCGAAUGUCGGCAGCGGUAGCGAUGACGAUUACCCUCCACCUGUCAGUACCUUAUCGCGUCGUCCAUCUUUCGCCGAUAUCGAAUUCACCGGCCCUGUACCAGCUGGAAGACCUUUGACCCUGCUGCUGGAGGCAGCCAACAAUAGCCGACCUCCCAGCGCCAUGAACACGUACCCUAGAUCGUAUCAUCAUCACCAUCACCAUCAUCAUGCCGGACAUGGAGGUCAUGGCGCCGGUAGCAUGACCGCUGCCACUUCUACCAACACACUGUAUCGUGGUAGUAUCAGAAGAGGCGAUGUUAGAGAGGUCAGAGACUGCUUCAUUCAUCAGCCCAUCGUUCAUCAUCCGCACUGCUAUGUGCAUAAGAGUUACGCGGCCGCGGCUGCUGCUGCUGCGGCGGCUGCUGGAGGAGGUGGUGUUUCCGACGACGACGAUGAUGACGAACCGGAUCCGGCUUACGCUACAGUGUUCCCGAAUGAGCCACCUGCACCUGGUAUGCCCUGUCAAGGAGAAGACAGAAGCAUUUACAGAAGAGGUGCACGAAGAUGGCGAAAAUUAUAUAGGGUAAAUGGGCAUAUAUUCCAAGCGAAACGUUUCAAUCGACGAGCGUUUUGCGCAUACUGUCACGACCGCAUAUGGGGUCUGGGCCGGCAGGGUUUCAAAUGCAUUCAGUGUAAAUUACUUAUCCAUAAGAAAUGCCACAAACUGAUACAAAAGCCUUGCACCAGCGAAUGCGUCGAACCAUUCCAAAGAGAUGAUACGAACGGAGAACCAUCGGCAGCCACCACCCCUUCGCCGGACUUACCAACGGAAGGAAAAGAUUUCGGCGAGCCGAUAUUAGACGCUUCGGUUGAUUCGGUACCUAUCGAGGAUCCGGGCGACGAAAACCUCGAACCAGGAGCUCAACGUCAGUACUCGUUGGACGAUUUCGAAUUAAUCAAAGUCAUCGGACGAGGCAGCUACGCGAAAGUUUUAAUGGUCGAAUUAAGAAGAACACAUCGGAUUUACGCGAUGAAAGUGAUAAAAAAAGCAUUAGUGACCGACGACGAGGAUAUCGAUUGGGUGCAAACGGAAAAACACGUUUUUGAAACGGCCUCGAAUCAUCCAUUCCUUGUGGGACUGCAUUCGUGUUUCCAGACACCGAGUCGACUGUUUUUUGUGAUAGAAUUCGUUCGAGGUGGUGACCUUAUGUUUCAUAUGCAACGUCAGAAAAGACUACCCGAAGGACACGCUAGAUUUUAUGCCGCUGAAAUCAGCUUGGCUCUGCAUUUCCUUCACGAUAAAGGAAUAAUUUACCGUGAUUUGAAACUCGAUAACGUGCUGCUAGACCACGAAGGGCAUAUUAAAUUAACCGAUUACGGUAUGUGCAAAGAGGGUAUAAGACAAGGAGAUACCACGUCUACGUUCUGCGGUACGCCCAAUUAUAUCGCGCCGGAAAUUCUACGAGGAGAAGAAUACGGAUUUAGUGUCGAUUGGUGGGCGUUGGGUGUACUAUUGUAUGAAAUGUUAGCUGGCCGAAGUCCGUUUGAUAUUGGAAAUGCUUCCGAAAAUCCUGAUCAAAAUACCGAAGAUUACUUAUUCCAAAUAAUACUCGAUAGACCAAUAAGAAUUCCGAGAUCAUUAUCGGUUAAAGCGUCAACUGUGUUGAAAGGAUUCUUAAACAAGAACCCAGAAGAACGAUUGGGAUGUAAUGCUGAACUAGGUUUCCGUGAAAUCUACGAUCAUCUGUUCUUCAAACUCAUCGAUUGGGAAUUGUUACAAAGUAAACAAGUUCCACCACCUUAUAGACCCAGACUCGAAUGUGAUAGAGAUUUAGCCAAUUUCCCACCUGAGUUCACCGACGAACCUGUUCAACUCACGCCUGAUGAUGAAAAAUGUACAAUGGGAAAAUUGGGCUGCCGUUUGCGAAACUUUGUUAAUGCAUUAUUUAGCCGGUGACGACGACGACGCCGACAGAAGCAGCGCGCGAGUUAAACGUCAAGCCGAGUUGAAAAUUGAAUUUAAAAUUCUCACGAUGAGCAGAAAACAGCGAAAGCCGUUUUUGCAAAUUGGAUUCGAGAUGUCGCGUCUCGUCGAGGAAUGAGCUCGAUUAUUGCCAUUUUUUUGCCCGAUCUUCGACUAUGAACCUUCUUUCAUAGUCCGGUGAAUCAAUGGAGAUCACUGGAAUUUGGUGAUGGGAGAGUUAAAUCAGUGCCUAAGAUUUGGGCUAUGAUUCGAAUUUUUGCCUAUUGGAGCUCGGUGAUCGAUAAAAUAGAUCAAUCGGAAUUCGAAGGCUUCGAGUAUGUGAAUCCUCUUCUAAUGUCGUUAGAAGAUUGUGUCUGACAAGAAGAAUGGGAUUGUCGUCACAUGGAUGAUGAUGAGAUGCUGUACGACGUGUCACCUCCCGAACAGAUCGAAAGACCUGCAUCCAGAGGAUGGUUUUGUCUGCCGUUGCGUUAAUAUUUUAUUAUUAUUUUAUUUAUUUUUUUCUCUCUCUUCAUUUACACCCCAUUUUUGCAAAUAUUUUAGUGUCCUUUUUUCGUCUCUUUUUAUUUUUUAAUUUUUAACGCAUUCCUUUUAUUCUUUAUUUUUGUAAUUUUUUCCCCCUCUCCUUUGUAGUAUUUCAUUAAGUUGGCGUUUUAUUUAUUUUAUCAAAUUUUUUUCCCAGAGUUUUUUUUUUUUAAAGCCAUAACUAGAAAGAAUUUUUGUAUCAUGUAGCGAGUUUCGGUUAUUAUGAUGUGUUUUUAAUCAUCGAGACGUGAGAGAAAAUUAAUCAGUAUCCGUCCAGAUCGGCCGCUUUGUAUGUUUUUUUCAUUCUUAUUUAUAUAUUUCAUUUUUUUCGCCUUUUUUUCAUUUUUCUUCGCUCUAGAUGGGUUUUAUUUUAUUUAUUUUUUUGUUUUCAUGCGCGUGGCGAUUUUAUUCUCUCUUAAAAACAGCGUUUUUCUCGACGACUUUCCCGUUUGAAUUUUCGCGACAAUGUAUUAAAAUACCUACCUAUUCAUUUUACCUAUCUUACUAUACGAUUACGCAAUGAAUAUCCCGUCUGAUUGAUAUUGCUCGUUAUUUAUCGUGUAAUUUAUUCAAUAUUUCGUUUUAAUAAUUUUUUCCCCCUCAACCAUUAGUACAAAUUAUUUUGAGUAAAAUCAUGGAAAUAUUUGUGUAAAAGUGUGAGUAAUUAGAUUGGCGUAAAUAUUCAUGCAGCUUUGUAGCUUAUUUACCUACUUUAUAAACCUAUCUACCGAAUAUUUUUUUUCCAUCGUUGAGUCGAAGAAUGUUGAGAAAUACGUUCGAUCCUUCGAAUUAAUAGAUUUCGAUCCAAGUUCGACUAAAUCGGUAGUACCAUUUGUAAAAAAAAAUUAUUUAUCCAUUAUAAAAGCACCGUAUUUAUACAUAGAUAAUUGUAUUAUCGUCGUUGAAUUUGUUUUCGAUGUUUUCUCUCUUUCUUUUUUUUUUGUGUUUUUCUCUUUAUUUAAUCAGUGUUUACGAAAAGGAUAAUGUAUAAAUAAGUACCUAGGAAAUUUUGUUAACCUGUUUGAAAUGUUGAGUGUGUGUAUCUGUUAUCAUGUUGAGCAUGUUCUCCCUAAAAAAAUUCUAUUACCAUCCCCUACCUAAACCAGUUUUAUUUUCGUAGUGAUAAUGUUUUGUUGUGAAUUUUUUUGUCUUUUAAAAUGAGUGUAGAUGCGCUGAGAUGCCAUGGUUUAUUCUUGUUGCCAUUUCGUAUUUUUAAUUUUAAAAUCUGCGUGUUGUAAAUGUGUUUUAAGUUCUUUUUUUUUUUUUUGUUUUCUCUAUGUGAUAACAGACCAGUAUGAAAAAAUUAUUUUUGACCUGUUGAUUAGGGUUUGGCGAAGAAGAGUUUUUCGAAUUACAAGAACAGUAUUAUUUUUAACGAACGUUAGUGUUGUAAUAUUGUAAUAUUUAAUAGAUACAAGUAUUUUACCCGGUAAGAUAACACAAAAUAUUAUAUUACUCCUCGUUUUUAAGAUGCCAGUGCAUCGAUGCGAUGAUUUUCUCUGUGGUGAUUUAAAAAAUACAAUUCAUGUUCCGUUUCCGUUACUUAA